UUAGGAAUUGUGGGAGUUGAAGUCCAAAACACCUGGAAGGAGGGCCCAAGUUGGCCCAUGCCUGCACUAUGGAAUGAAUCCACUUUCAAUCCGGUUUUUGCCUCCUACAGAAUUCUGGGCUUUGUAGUUUAGGGUGGGGGUGGCCUGUUAAAGGCUAUCUUAACUAGUUUUGCAUAUUGGCCCUCUCUCCCCCUCCCCCAAAUAUGAGUCUGUUGUUGCUUAGGUUGCUUGUUUAUUAUUGUUUACGUUGUUUUCAUGCUAUUUUAAUAUGUUAUUGUUCAGUUUUUAAUUGUAUGUUGCCUUGGGCUUGGCCCCGAGUCCCCUUCUUCCUCCCUAAUCCCACCCUUUUGCAAUCCCACCCUUCCAGAGAAAGGACCUUUUCAACUUCUGGGCUGCUGUAAAUUUUCCGGGCUGUAUGGCCGUGUUCCAGAAGCAUUCUCUCCUGACGUUUCGCCUGCAUCUAUGGCUGAGGUUGUGAGAAGCAACCCUGAGAAACUACAAGUCGCUUUUGGUGUGAGAGAAAUGGCCAUCUGCAGAGACAUUGCCCAGGGGACGGCCGGAUGUGUUACCAUCCUGUAGGAGGCUUCUUUCACAUCUCUGCUGGAGCUGGAGCUAACAGACGGGAGCUCACCCUGUCUUGAGGAUUCAAACCAUCGACCUUCAGUUCAGCCGGCACAAAGGUUUAACCCAUUGUGCCACCGUGGCUCCUUCCUUUGCAGGUAGAAAUCAAGCUGAUAACCAUAAUUAUGGGAUAGACACAACCUUAAGCACACAAUGAAGCAAGCCUCAUCUAAUGUUUGUUCUUGGCUACCAUCAAGUCAACUUUAUGACGGCUGAAUGAAUGAGACUUCCAAGUCACCCUGUCAUCAGCAGCCCUGCUCAGGCUGUCCUUCUUUCUCUGAAUCUAUUCAUCUGUAAUGAACUCUUUGUCCUUUUCCUGUU